rnacentral:rRNA from 1 species
UGGGGAAUCUUGCGCAAUGGGCGAAAGCCUGACGCAGCCAUGCCGCGUGAAUGAUGAAGGUCUUAGGAUUGUAAAAUUCUUUCACCGGGGACGAUAAUGACGGUACCCGGAGAAGAAGCCCCGGCUAACUU